CCUGUUCAAGUGGUUUGGUGAAGUUAAACCAAGUAACUUGUUACUGGUUCGAGACGGGCACAUUCCUCACUCCUUUCAUUUUCAUUCCAUUCAUUCACUAUAUAUAUGAGGUACUUCAAAGUACCUCUCUUUUAAAAAAUAUUAACAUACAAAUAUCUACGCUACCUCUAGUUGGAAGAACACAAAAUCCAGAUAACAAAAUAAAG
rnacentral:lncRNA from 1 species